AUUUCUAAGUUUACGAAGGGGAAAAAUAGGUGGGCACCUUACCUUACAAGUCUCUUCUUCACAAUAAUAUCAUCUCAGCUGUCUCUGUGUUGUUUUUGCAAGUCUUCUCUAUUUCUUGCUGAGAUCUAGAGACAAAGCCCUAAAACUAAAAAGCAAAAAUGGCGGAAGAGAAGGAUCCCACUUCUAUACCACUAAGUCAAGCUUCUGAAGAUCCUGAAGACCCCAUCAAAUCUACUCCUGCUUCACCCAAUUCUUCUACCCGCAAGGCUUGCUGUUAUUUUCUUCAAAGUUGGGUAUCUAAGAAGUUUAUGACUGGAUGUGUGGUUCUCUUCCCUGUGGCGGUUACAUUCUUUGUGACAUGGUGGUUUAUUCAGUUUGUUGAUGGUUUCUUCAGUCCACUAUAUGAACAACUUGGCAUUGACAUAUUUGGACUAGGAUUUGUCACAUCUCUUGUUUUUGUAUUCUUAGUUGGAGUUUUUGUUUCAUCCUGGCUGGGUGCUACUGUUUUUUGGAUUGGGGAAUGGAUUAUUAAACGAAUGCCAUUUGUCAGACACUUAUAUUCGGCUUCAAAGCAGAUCAGUUCUGCAGUGUCUCCAGAUCAAAACACCACCGCUUUUAAGGAAGUGGCAAUUAUUCGUCAUCCCCGUGUGGGGGAAUAUGCUUUUGGUUUUAUAACAUCAUCAGUUACCCUUCAGACAGAAGAAGGGGAUGAAGAAUUGUAUAGUGUUUUUGUCCCUACAAACCAUUUGUACAUUGGUGAUGUACUCCUGGUUAACGCCAAUGAUGUCAUAAAACCAAACAUGUCCAUCCGUGAAGGCAUUGGUAUGUCUCUGGUUUUCUGGUAACUCGUCUUUAAUAUGUCACUCCUUGUUUUGUACUAGUAGCUCGGUUGACUGGUUGAAGCAUGCAUCUUAGUUGAUGGUGUCUUUAGUUUACUGAGUUAUCCAACUUUCUAAAACUAACCAACAUAAGCUUAUCCAUGAGAUCAUUGUUUCCGGAGGAAUGACCAUGCCUCAAAGGAUCUCUCAUGUGGCAAGAGUUGCGCGACAAAGUGAAAGAAUUCCACUGAACAGAAUUAAGUAAAAAUAGUGAUGAACAUGACAAUGUAGGACGGUUUGUAAUUAGUCAAGGAGGGAAAGAAAAAUCAUAUAUACAUUGCUGUAAUUUUUCGGAUCGAUCCGAUAUAUGUUGUAUUAUGUCUCUGUUCUGAAGAUACAGUAAAGUUCUCGUUGAAGGUUUAAAUUCAUGUCCAUCUCAGGCAAUCAAACAGAUAUAUCCAGUUAUCAUGUUGUCCCAACAUGGGUGAAUGUAAAAAUAUUAGUAAA